AACAUAGUGUUGUGAUGCAGGGUCACUAUAGCAACAUAGUGUUGUGAUGCAGGGUCACUAUAGCAACAGUGUUGUGAUGCAGGGUCACUAUAGCAACAUAGUGUUGUGAUGCAGGGUCACUAUAGCAACAUAGUGUUGUGAUGCAGGGUCACUAUAGCAACAGAGUGUUGUGAUGCAGGGUCACUAUAGCAACAGAGUGUUGUGAUGCAGGGUCACUAUAGCAACAUAGUGUUGUGAUGCAGGGUCACUAUAGCAACAUAGUGUUGUGAUGCAGGGUCACUAUAGCAACAGAGUGUUGUGAUGCAGGGUCACUAUAGCAACAGAGUGUUGUGAUGCAGGGUCACUAUAGCAACAUAGUGUUGUAAUGCAGGGUUACUAUAGCAACAUAGUGUUGUGAUGCAGGGUUACUAUAGCAACAUAGUGUUGUGAUGCAGGGUUACUAUAGCAACAUAGUGUUGUGAUGCAGGGUCACUAUAGCAACAUAGUGUUGUGAUGCAGGGUUACUAUAGCAACAUAGUGUUGUGAUGCAGGGUUACUAUAGCAACAUAGUGUUGUAAUGCAGGGUUACUAUAGCAACAUAGUGUUGUGAUGCAGGGUUACUAUAGCAACAUAGUGUUGUGAUGCAGGGUCACUAUAGCAACAUAGUGUUGUAAUGCAGGGUUACUAUAGCAACAUAGUGUUGUGAUGCAGGGUUACUAUAGUAACAUAGUGUUGUGAUGCAGGGUUACUAUAGCAACAUAGUGUUGUAAUGCAGGGUUACUAUAGCAACAUAGUGUUGUAAUGCAGGGUCACUACAGCAACAUA